CAUUCUGACUAAUAGCUUCAACUGGAUAAGAAAAACCAGCAGAGAAUUGAUAAGAAAGUUCCAAAUAUCCAAAACAUACAUAGAAUACCACAAAAUGAAGACUUGAAACAAGAAAAAUGCAAACAGCAUUGAAAGAAUAACUAAACAAGAACAUAUCCUGCAAAAAAAACGAAAAUGAUACAUAAUAAUCCAAAGACUCGAGCCUAUAUGCAGAGAAGUUCCAGAGGAAGGUCAUGCUUCCAAAAGUUUCCAUUUUAACAUUGCAAACACUAACUCAUGUACAAGUGAGUGAUUCUCAUUCACUUAUUUGCUAAUAUGCAUAUAACUCGAUCUCAAACUAACCAAUAAGUAUCAUACUACCUGAAAUCUAGCUAACCAUCAGUUUUGAGAUAUUUUCUACAACAAAGUAAACCCAAG